GCGGCGGGCGUCUCUUGGUCUCCCAGGCUGCUUGCUGUCUGGCAGGUGGCGCCAUGCCUGUGAAAGCAGAAGUCAUCCUGCGUUAUGGACCCUACAGCGCAGUGGGCCUGGCGGUCGAGCACCGCACCUUCCGCCUGGAGGGCCUGCAAGCUGUGUUGGCCAAAGAUGGACACAAGGUCAUCCUAGAGAAAAUAGAAGAAUGGAAUGUGGUGGAGCUCGUGGUAAAUGAAGACAUUGUCUUCCAGUGCAAUAUUACAGACUUGGAGUUCGGAGGUGAUGGUAAACUGGAUCCACUGUGCGAAGAGGCUAGGAAAUCUGUGUUAAACGCCUACUGAUCUCUGGUGGAACAGAUGCAGAUGACCAUCACAGCCCCUGGUGCAGGGAUCCAGGGCUGUCCCUGCCAGGAAGAAGCAACACCGGCCUGCUACAAAGUCCAGAUUCCCAUCUGGCUGCACAGGGGCCCCCAAAAUAAUAAAACCACAUUGUGUGUUGUGUCUUUCAACCUCAACCCACAGGGAGAGUCUCCAAUAUCAGACCUGUCCAACAGAAGGCUCUGAGGAGAGCAGAAAGUUCUGAACAGAAGCAAGAAGUGGCCCGGUCCCUUUGGAGGAGGACACAGCCCAGUGAAAAGAAGAGUUUAGCUGUGGUCAGGUGAGCUACAAGGACAUUUCAGUAUGAGGACUGGAGCAGAGGGAGGACCUUGAAGGAACACUGGUGCCCUCAGUGGCAGAAGCCGCUUCCUGGGCCCCGCUCCUGGAAGUGUGGUGGGAAGCUGCCCCUCCUGCUCCUGGCUGUGUGGGCAGAACAGGGUUACAGGGAAGGAACAACUCAGGUGACAGCAUGCACAGAAGAUGUGGAUGCCAAGUUUCCAGGAGAAGCACACCAGGUGGUCAAGCCCAGGUGAAAUGGGGAAAUGCCAGGCCAGGUGUCUGA